CUCUGCUGGUGUUUUGUGGGUGAGCCCAGGGUAGGGAUAAUGGUCUCCCUGGAGAAGUGCUGGAAGAUGGAUUAUCUACAGUUUCAACACAGGACCAGGCAUUGCUGCUCAAAGGAAGAUAGAAGGGAAAAUUACUGACAAUUUCUCACUUAAUCAUCACCUCUUUAUCCACUUUACAAGAGGAUGGCCUAUCACAAGUCUCCUGGAUCCUUUUGAAACUGAUUCCGCAAGGCUGUAAGCCUAUUGUCCAGAAGGAAGAGAGUAUUUUUCCACGAGGCCAUGCCAUGUUAAUGGUAAUAUCUAUUAGACCUGUCAGUCAAUAUUCUAUGAAAUAUACUUCAAUCACAGGUGUUGUUUGUGUUUGUUAGUUUUUGGUUUUUGUCUUUUCAAAUAUUUGGCUUUGAAAGACAGCAAAAAAUCAAAAGAUUCUCAUUAUGGUAAGUAAAUAUGUAGAUAAGUAUGAAGAAACAAGACAAACUUUCUGAUAAUGAACUUCAGAGACACAAUGAAGACACUUGUCCAUUGAGGAUUUGGAAGAUUUCAGAACUAAAGCAGAAGCUUUUGUGGCCCAGAAUAUCAAGGGGAUAGUUGUUUAUUCAGCUGAGUACAAGAUACUAAUUCAAGCCCAUAAUUCUUCAGUUACUAGAGCAGCCCCCAGCUGAGAUUUGCACAAAGAUCUCAGCAGCCAAACUGUGGAUAUUUUUAUUUGCAUAAUAUUAGCUACCUGGCUCUAUAGCAGCAGUACUGUCACGUUUCAUCCCAUGGCUUUAAUUUAGUUUGCCAACACUUUCUUGCUCACAUUAGCAAAUAUUAAAAAUACAUUAUAUUUUUUCUCCUGUACAGUUCAAACCACCGCAAAGGAUUUUCUAUCCCCUUUGGGUGCUCCUCAGUAAAAUUAGCUCACAGCAGAACUCCCUACAUGUGAUUGGCAGCAGUUCUCCAUGAAUAGUAUAACUUUAUGGCAUAGUUUCCUGUUGUAUGGAGGGAUUUCCUUCCUUCAUGUAGGAUUAAAAAUAUGUACUAUGAUUCAGCCAAUGGGCUUGCAAGAAGUUGUAACUCACUGCACUGAUACCAAGAAUGAAUAAUCAAUUACAAUGAAACUUUGGGUUUCUAAUACAACUAGUGAUUUCCCAAAGCAUUUAAAAAAAAAAAUUCUGAUGUCAGAUUUUAAUUUAACGAAUAGAAUAGAAAGUUUUCUAAGUAUAUUAAUGUAAAAAUAAAUAUAUUUUAUAGAGAAAACACUGAAAGAUAUGUAUUAAGACUGGUCCGAGAUUAUCUGGCAUGCAUAUUUUUCAAUAACAGCUGUGACAGUCAUGUAGAUCAUAGAGUCAUAGAAUGGUUUGGUUAGAAGGGAUCUUUAAGAUCUUCUAGUUUCAACCCCAUGCUGUAGGCAGAGACAUCUCCUUCUAGACCAGGUAAUGGGUUAUGUCUAAUGAAAUUAUCUUUCAGCUUUUAUUUUUAUACAUUUUAAACUUAUAAACUUGCUUAUCAAUUUCAUUCAGGAGUUUGUAUCAAUAUAAACUUCUUUUGGAGCAGCAAUAUUUCCUCCAAACACCAUCUAGGAAGAGGUAUGCUUCAAAAGAAUUUACUAGAUAGCAGUGAAAAUUUCCUAAAUAUUGUUCAGAAUGAUUGCGUAUGAAAUGAGGGGCACAUAAUGGAAGUAAAAAGAAUAAACUUAAAGAAAUAAAAAAAAUGAGGAAGAAAAGUCAUGGACUAAAAUAAUGUGUUAAAGAGCAAAACAAGAUAUUUGAUUGUUUGUUUGUUUUUUUAAUGUAACAAUUUCACUGAUUUUCUUCAUUAUUUUAGCUGGAUAAGUAUUGGAAAUUGCUGAAAUAAAUGAAAUGACACCAGAAUAAGAUUUUCCAGGAAGCCUCCAGAGGUGAAUUGGAUUUGUUUACUUGCAGUUAUUUGGAAUGAAGUGCUGUAAUUUGAUGUACUGGGAUAUAUGUCACACAUCUGGCAUGAGCUGAUUAAGUCACCUACACCAAUUUUGAUAUAAGAAUGA